rnacentral:rRNA from 1 species
GAUGAACGCUGGCGGCGUGCCUAAUACAUGCAAGUCGAGCGAACAGAUGAGGAGCUUGCUCCUCUGACGUUAGCGGCGGACGGGUGAGUAACACGUGGAUAACCUACCUAUAAGACUGGGAUAACUUCGGGAAACCGGAGCUAAUACCGGAUAAUAUAUUGAACCGCAUGGUUCAAUAGUGAAAGACGGUUUUGCUGUCACUUAUAGAUGGAUCCGCGCCGCAUUAGCUAGUCGGUAAGGUAACGGCUUACCAAGGCAACGAUGCGUAGCCGACCUGAGAGGGUGAUCGGCCACACUGGAACUGAGACACGGUCCAGACUCCUACGGGAGGCAGCAGUAGGGAAUCUUCCGCAAUGGGCGAAAGCCUGACGGAGCAACGCCGCGUGAGUGAUGAAGGUCUUCGGAUCGUAAAACUCUGUUAUUAGGGAAGAACAAAUGUGUAAGUAGCUAUGCACGUCUUGACGGUACCUAAUCAGAAAGCCACGGCUAACUACGUG